rnacentral:rRNA from 1 species
CGACCGGCGCACGGGUGAGUAACACGUAUCCAACCUGCCGUCUACUCUUGGACAGCCUUCUGAAAGGAAGAUUAAUACAAGAUGGCAUCAUGAGUCCGCAUGUUCACAUGAUUAAAGGUAUUCCGGUAGACGAUGGGGAUGCGUUCCAUUAGAUAGUAAGCGGGGUAACGGCCCACCUAGUCUUCGAUGGAUAGGGGUUCUGAGAGGAAGGUCCCCCACAUUGGAACUGAGACACGGUCCAAACUCCUACGGGAGGCAGCAUG